GGAGAGUAGGAGGCAUGGUGCUCAAGCGGUCUUGAAAACCGUCCCGUUGAGAUAUCCUCGAUGAUGGUUCGAUUCCAUUACUCUCCUCCA
rnacentral:tRNA from 1 species